CAGCCAUGCCGCGUGCGGGAAGGAGGCCCUAUGGGCUGUGAACCGCUUUUGCCUGGGGGCAAUAAGGGCGUCGCGCACGUCCGAUGAGAGUACCAGGGGAAUAAGCAUCGGCUAACUCCGUGCCAGCAGCCGCGGUAAUACGGGGGAUGCGAGCGUUAUCCGGAUUCAUUGGGUUUAAAGGGUGCGUAGGCUGUGCGUCAAGUCAGGGGUGAAAUUCCGGGGCUCAACUCCGGGGCUGCCCUUGAUACUGUCGCGCUGGAGUGCGGAUGCCGCCGGAGGAAUGAGUGGUGUAGCGGUGAAAUGCUUAGAUAUCACUCAGAACACCGAUUGCGAAGGCAUCUGGCGAAUCCGUAACUGACGCUGAGGCACGAAAGCGUGGGGAUAGAACAGGAUUAGAUACCCUGGUAUUCCACGCCGUAAACGAUGAUGGCUAACCGCCGGCGACACACUGUCGGUGGCCAAGCGAAAGCGAUAAGCCAUCCACCUGGGGAGUACGUCGGCAACGAUGAAACU
rnacentral:rRNA from 1 species